rnacentral:rRNA from 1 species
GACGCAGCCAUGCCGCGUGAGUGAUGAAGGCCUUCGGGUUGUAAAGCUCUUUCAGAUGUGACGAUGAUGACGGUAACAUCAGAAGAAGCCCCGGCUAACUUCGUGCCAGCAGCCGCGGUAAUACGAAGGGGGCAAGCGUUGUUCGGAAUUACUGGGC